GCACAGCAACGGGUGGAGCGUGCGGUUUAAUUGGAUUCAACGCCGGAAAACUCACCGGAGGCGACGGUUACAUGAAGGCCAGGCUGAUGACCUUGCCUGAUUUUCCGAGAGGUGGUGCAUGGCCGCCGUCAGUUCGUACCGUAAGGCGUUCUGUUAAGUCAGACAACGAACGAGACCCUCAUCUUUGGUUGCUACUGGUAAGUCCGCUUAUCAGGCACACUAAAGAAACCGCUGGCGAUAAGUCAGAGGAAGGCGAGGGCAACGGUAGGUCAGUAUGCCCUGAAUCCUCCGGGCUACACGCGCGCUACAAAGGCUAGGACAAUGGGCUUCAACACCGAAAGGUGAAGGUAAUCCCGAAACCUAGUCGUAGUUCGGAUUGAGGAUUGAAACUCACCCUCAUGAAGCUGGAAUCCGUAGUAAUCGCGGAUCAACAUCCCGCGGUGAAUAUGCCCCUGCUCCUUGCACACACCGCCCGUCAAACCAUGCGAAUUGGGUCUGAGUGAGGAUGUAGUUAUUGCCACAUUCAAACUUAGGCCUACUAAGCGGGGUAAAGUCUUAACAAGG
rnacentral:rRNA from 1 species